rnacentral:rRNA from 1 species
CUACGGGCUGCUGCAGUGAGGAAUAUUGCACAAUGGGGGGAACCCUGAUGCAGCAACGCCGCGUGGGGGAUGACGCAUUUCGGUGUGUAAACUCCUUUUAUAUGUCAAGAAAAUGACGGUAGCAUAUGAAUAAGCACCGGCUAGACUCCGUGCCAGCAGCCGCGGUAAUACGGAGGGUGCAAGCGUUACUCGGAAUCACUGGGCGUAAAGGACGCGUAGGCGGGUUGGAAAGUCAGGUGUGAAAUCCUACAGCUUAACUGUAGAACUGCACUUGAAACUUCUAAUCUAGAGUAUGGGAGGGGGAGAUGGAAUUAGUGGUGUAGGGGUAAAAUCCGUAGAUAUCACUAGGAAUACCUAAAGCGAAGGCGAUCUCCUGGAACAUUACUGACGCUAAGGCGUGAAAGCGUGGGGAGCAAACAGGAUUAGAUACCCCUGUAGUC